GACGAACGCUGGCGGCGUGCCUAAUACAUGCAAGUAGGACGCAGUUGCGAACGGGUGAGUAACGCGUAGGUAACUACCUAUUAGAGGGGGAUAACUAUUGGAAACGAUAGCUAAUACCGCAUACUAGUAGAUGGACCUGCGUUGUAUUAGCUAGUAGGUAGGGGAAUGGCCUACCUAGGCAACGAUUCAUAGCCGACCUGGAAGGGUGGACGGCCACAAUGGGACCGGGACACGGGCCAGACUCCUACGGGAGGCAGCAGUAGGGAAUCUUCGGAAAUGGGGGGAAACCUGACCGAGCAAAGCCGCGUGAGGUAAGAAGGGUUUCGGAUCGUAAAGCUCUGUUGUUAAGGAAGCGGUACUUAACCAGAAAGGGACGGCUAACUACGUGCCAGCAGCCGCGGUAAUAC
rnacentral:rRNA from 1 species